rnacentral:rRNA from 1 species
AUUGAACGCUGGCGGCAGGCUUAACACAUGCAAGUCGAGCGGGGAAGGUUGCUUCGGUAACUGACCUAGCGUCGGACGGGUGAGUAAUGCUUAGGAAUCUGCCUAUUAGUGGGGGACAACAUUCCGAAAGGGAUGCUAAUACCGCAUACGCCCUACGGGGGAAAGCAGGGGAUCUUCGGACCUUGCGCUAAUAGAUGAGCCUAAGUCGGAUUAGCUAGUUGGUGGGGUAAAGGCCUACCAAGGCGACGAUCUGUAGCGGGUCUGAGAGGAUGGUACGCCACACUGGGACUGAGACACGGCCCAGACUCCUACGGGGGGCAGCAGUGGGGAAUAUUGGACAAUGGGCGGAAGCCUGAUCCAGCCAUGCAGCGUGUGUGAAGAAGGCCUUUUGGUUGUAAAGCACUUUAAGCGAGGAGGAGGCUCUUAAGGUUAAUACCCUUGAUGAGUGGACGUUACUCGCAGAAUAAGCACCGGCUAACUCUGUGCCAGCCGCCGCGGUAACAC